rnacentral:lncRNA from 1 species
AUUCUGGAACUAUUCAUGAAUGGCUUCAUGUCACAAUGCACAAAAUGUGCCUCAGACAGGGCUGGACACAGUGUCCCUCCAAACCUGUUGUACGAUGUGAGCGGGCAAGGAAACACAAGCUGGCUUACAGGUGGAACACCUGAGAGUCCCCAGAGAGGACCUAUGACAGACAGCUGAGACAUGGAUGGACACGAGCCCCAGAGAGACUUCAGUAAUUCUUCUCUUCAAGUAAUGCCUCCCCAACUAGUACGUUCUAUAAGGAUGAGGAUCAUAUCCCUUCAUGCUCACCACUCUAUCCCCAAAGCCCAACACUCUACUGCUUGACUGAGAGCAGGUAUUGCAGAAAGAACAAAGAGAGAGGAAGUUGGGCACUCCAUAAGUCCAUUAGCCUUCAUCAAAGGUGAACCUCCCAACUCAAUGUUUGACAUGUGAAAAAAAAAGCAGGUAAGUUAGGACAAACUCUCCAACUUACAUAAGUCUGGCUAGAGCCUGAUAUAUAUGUGGGAAUGUGCUUCCUAUUAGCAUGUGACCACCUCCCUUCAUGUUGUCCAUUGAGGAAGAGUCCCACAGAGCUGGAGGGAGAGCUACCACCAGCAGGAGCAUAAAA